UCAUGUUUGUUUCAUCUUCCAAGCCAUUCUCUUUAAGUUACCUAUGUUUGUUUCAUUCAUUUUCCUCAAAGAACAUUUCUAAAGAAAUCUGAAAAUUUCCUCUCAAUCAUCUAUCCUAUGUUUUAAAUCACACCUUAGAGGAGUUGUGGUUGCUUUUCCAAGUCCCUUCAAGGAUCGUUCAUUGCGGUUUUGUCUUUUCGGUUUCCAUCAUCAUUUCAAGCUCUCUUAGUUGCUGGAAAUUUUCUCUUUUUAUUCUUUAUGAUAGAGAGGAAAACGCACCAACGAUAGUUAUAUAGUUGACGAGAAUAACGUCGAGGAUGACCUGGGCAUUGACGAGGAGGAGAUAUGAGACAUAGUUGAAUUUUAUUUAUAAUCUAUACUUUUAAUUAUGACUAUACCACAUUUUUACUUGUUUCAUUUAAGGAUAGUAACUUUGUA